AAUCCAUAGGUUAAUGAGGCGAACCGGGGGAACUGAAACAUCUAAGUACCCCGAGGAAAAGAAAUCAACCGAGAUUCCCCCAGUAGCGGCGAGCGAACGGGGAGGAGCCCAGAGCCUGAAUCAGCAUGUGUGUUAGUGGAAGCGUCUGGAAAGGCGCGCGAUACAGGGUGACAGCCCCGUACACAAAAGCGCAUGUGCUGUGAGCUCGAUGAGUAGGGCGGGACACGUGGUAUCCUGUCUGAAUAUGGGGGGACCAUCCUCCAAGGCUAAAUACUCCUGACUGACCGAUAGUGAACCAGUACCGUGAGGGAAAGGCGAAAAGAACCCCGGCGAGGGGAGUGAAAAAGAACCUGAAACCGUGUACGUACAAGCAGUGGGAGCACCCUUUUGGGUGUGACUGCGUACCUUUUGUAUAAUGGGUCAGCGACUUAUAUUCUGUAGCAAGGUUAACCGAAUAGGGGAGCCGUAGGGAAACCGAGUCUUAACCGGGCGUUAAGUUGCAGGGUAUAGACCCGAAACCCGGUGAUCUAGCCAUGGGCAGGUUGAAGGUUGGGUAACACUAACUGGAGGACCGAACCGACUAAUGUUGAAAAAUUAGCGGAUGACCUGUGGCUGGGGGUGAAAGGCCAAUCAAACCGGGAGAUAGCUGGUUCUCCCCGAAAGCUAUUUAGGUAGCGCCUCGUGAAUUC
rnacentral:rRNA from 1 species